AUUGAACGCUGGCGGCAGGCCUAACACAUGCAAGUCGAACGAGUGGCGGACGGGUGAGUAAUGUCUGGGACUCUGCCUGAUGGAGGGGGACAACUACCGGACACGGUAGCUAAUACCGCAUACAAUCAGAUGUGCCCAGGUGGGUUUAGCUUGUUGGUGGGGUAACGGCUCACCAAGGCGACGAUCCCUAGCUGGUCUGAGAGGAUGACCCGCCACACUGGAACUGAGACACGGCCCAGACUCCUACGGGAGGCAGCAGUGGGGAAUAUUGCACAAUGGGCGCAAGCCUGAUGCAGCCAUGCCGCGUGUAUGAAGAAGGCCUUCGGGUUGUAAAGUACUUUCAGCGGGGAGGCGUUACCCACAGAAGAAGCACCGGCUAACUCCGUGCCAGCAGCCGCGGUAAUAC
rnacentral:rRNA from 1 species